AGCAUAAGUACGACUAUUUUAAUGAUUAGCGUAGGCUCAAAUGAGCCAUUCCCCUAGGCCCAAAAACGGAAAAGUUUUGGGCCUUUUUUU
rnacentral:sRNA from 1 species